rnacentral:rRNA from 1 species
CAAUAGCGUAUAUUAAAGUUGUUGCGGUUAAAAAGCUCGUAGUUGGAUUUCUGCCGAGGACGACCGGUCCGCCCUCUGGGUGAGUAUCUGGCUUGGCCUGGGCAGCUUCUUGGAGAACGCAGCUGCACUUGACUGUGUGGUGCGGUAUCCAGGACUUUUACUUUGAGGAAAUUAGAGUGUUUCAAGCAGGCACACGCCUUGAAUACAUUAGCAUGGAAUAAUAAUAUAGGCUCCUCGCCCUAUUUUGUUGGUUUCUAGAGCGAAGAGAAUGGUUAAUAGGGAUAAUUGGGGCGACUCGUACUAGAGCGUCAGAGGUGGAAUUCUUAGAUUGCUCUAUGACGAACUACUGCGAA